GGUUAAGCGAACAAAGCGUACACGGUGGAUGCCUUGGCAGUCAGAGGCGAAGAAGGACGUGCUAAUCUGCGAAAAGCGUCAGUAAGUUGAUAAGAAGCGUAAUAACUGAUGAUAUCCGAAUGGGGUAACCCAAUGCUUUUGCAUUAUCAUUUAAUGAAUACAUAGUUAAAUGAGGCGAACCAGGAGAACUGAAACAUCUUAGUAACCUGAGGAAAAGAAAUCAAUUGAGAUUCCCUUAGUAGUGGCGAGCGAAUAGGGAAAAGCCCAGAGUGAUAUAUAAGGAUUAUCAAUGUUAGGAGAAUAUUUUGGAAAAUAUAGCUAUAAAGGGUAAUAGCCCCGUAUCUGAAAACAUUCUAGUUCUUAUACUCGAAGAGUAAGAUGGGACACGUGUAAUCCUGUCUGAAUAUAGGGGGACCAUCCUCUAAGGCUAAAUACUACUGACUGACCGAUAGUGAAAUAGUACCGUGAGGGAAAGGUGAAAAGAACCCCGGUUAGGGGAGUGAAAUAGAACCUGAAACCGUGUAUGUACAAGCAGUAGAAGCCUAUAAUAGGGCAACUGCGUACCUUUUGUAUAAUGGGUCAGCGACUUAUAUUUUGUAGCGAGGUUAACCAAAUAUAUAGGGGAGCCAUAGGGAAACCGAGUCUUAAUUGGGCGAAUAGUUGCAAGAUAUAGACCCGAAACCCGGUGAUCUAACCAUGAGCAGGUUGAAGAUUGGAUAAAACUAAUUGGAGGACCGAACUGACUAAUGUUGAAAAAUUAGCGGAUGACUUGUGGUUAGGGGUGAAAGGCCAAUCAAACCGGGAGAUAGCUGGUUCUCCCCGAAAGCUAUUUAGGUAGCGCCUUAUGAAUUGAUUAUUGGGGGUAGAGCACUGUUUCGGCUAAGGGGUCAUCCUGACUUACUAAACCGAUGCAAACUACGAAUACCAAAUAAUUUUAUCAUGGGAGACACACGGCGGGUGCUAACAUCCGUCGUGAAGAGGGAAACAACCCAGAUCGCCAGCUAAGGUCCCAAAAUCAUAAUUAAGUGGGAAAUGAAGUGGAAAGGCAUAGACAGCCAGGAUGUUGGCUUAGAAGCAGCCAUCAUUUAAAGAUAGCGUAAUAGCUCACUGGUCGAGUCGGUCUGCACAAAAGAUGUAACGGGGCUAAAAUUAUGUACCGAAGCUGCGACAGCAAUUUUUUUGCUGGGUAGGGGAGCGUUCUGUAAGCUGUUGAAGAUAAAUUGAGAAAUUUAUUGGAGGUAUCAGAAGUGCGAAUGCUGACAUAAGUAACGAUAAAGUAGGUGAAAAACCUACUCGCCGAAAAACUAAGGUUUCCUGUCCAACGUUAAUCGGGGCAGGGUGAGUCGACCCCUAAGGUGAGGCUGAAAAGCGUAAUCGAUGGGAAACAGGUUAAUAUUCCUGUACUAAUAACUAUUGCGAAGGGGGGACGAAGAAGGCUAGACUAUCCGAGUGUUGGAUAUCUCGGUUUAAGCGUGUAGAUGAACAAUAUAGGAAAAUCCGUAUUGUUGUAAACAUCAAGGCGUGAUGAGUAGUCAUUUAUUUGACAAACUAGUUAAUGCCAAGCUUCCAAGAAAAGCCUCUAAGCUUCAGAUAUUUAUUAAUCGUACUACAAACCGACACAGGUGGUUAAGUAGAGAAUACUAAGGCGCUUGAGAGAACUCGGGUGAAGGAACUAGGCAAAAUAGUGCCGUAACUUCGGGAGAAGGCAUGCUGACAUGUAAGUGAAUAACUUUACGUUUGUAGCUGAAGUCAGUCGCAGAUACUAGCUAGCUGCAACUGUUUAUUAAAAACACAGCACUGUGCAAACACGAAAGUGGAAGUAUACGGUGUGACGCCUGCCCGGUGCUGGAAGGUUAAUUGAUAGGGUGAUUUUUAUUAGUUUUUAAAAUAAUGAAUAAGCUCUUGAUCGAAGCCCCAGUAAACGGCGGCCGUAACUAUAACGGUCCUAAGGUAGCGAAAUUCCUUGUCGGGUAAGUUCCGACCUGCACGAAUGGCGUAAUGAUGGCUAGACUGUCUCCACCCGAGACUCAGUGAAAUUGAAUUUGCUGUGAAGAUGCAGUGUACCCGCGGCAAGACGGAAAGACCCCGUGAACCUUUACUAUAGCUUGACACUGAAUGAUAAAUAUUGAUGUGUAGGAUAGGUGGGAGACAAUGAAAUAUGUACGCUAGUAUGUAUGGAGUCGACCUUGAAAUACCACCCUUUUGUAUUUGUUAUUCUAACUUGGAUCCGUAAUCCGGAUUAAGGACAGUGUCUGGUGGGUAGUUUGACUGGGGCGGUCUCCUCCUAAAGAGUAACGGAGGAGCACUAAGGUUAGCUAAUCACGGUCGGAUAUCGUGAGGUUAGUGUAAAGGCAUAAGCUAGCUUAACUGCGAGCGUGACAACGCGAGCAGAUACGAAAGUAGGUCUUAGUGAUCCGGUGGUUCUGAAUGGAAAGGCCAUCGCUCAACGAAUAAAAGGUACUCCGGGGAUAACAGGCUAAUACCGCCCAAGAGUUCAUAUCGACGGCGGUGUUUGGCACCUCGAUGUCGGCUCAUCACAUCCUGGGGCUGAAGCAGGUCCCAAGGGUAUGGCUGUUCGCCAUUUAAAGUGGUACGCGAGCUGGGUUUAGAACGUCGUGAGACAGUUCGGUCCCUAUCUGUCGUGGGCGUAGGAAGAUUGAGAGGAGCUGCUCCUAGUACGAGAGGACCGGAGUGGACACACCUCUGGUGUUCAGGUUGUCAUGCCAAUGGCAUUGCCUGGUAGCUACGUGUGGAAAAGAUAACUGCUGAAAGCAUAUAAGUAGGAAACUUACCUCAAGAUUAGUCUUCCCUGAUUUUUAAAAAAUCCUAAAGGAUUGUUCAAGACUAGAACUUAGAUAGGCUGGAUGUGUAAGCAUAGUGAUAUGUUCAGCUAACCAGUACUAAUAAUCCGUGAGGCUUAACCUG
rnacentral:rRNA from 1 species